UACGAAGGGGGCUAGCGUUGUUCGGAUUUACUGGGCGUAAAGCGCACGUAGGCGGAUCGUUAAGUCGGGGGUGAAAAUCCUGGAGCUCAACUCCAGAACUGCCUUCGAUACUGGCGAUCUUGAGUCCGGAAGAGGUGAGUGGAACUCCUAGUGUAGAGGUGGAAUUCGUAGAUAUUAGGAAGAACACCAGUGGCGAAGGCGGCUCACUGGUCCGGUACUGACGCUGAGGUGCGAAAGCGUGGGGAGCAAACAGGG
rnacentral:rRNA from 1 species